rnacentral:rRNA from 1 species
GCUACGGGUGGCAGCAGUGGGGAAUAUUGCACAAUGGGGGAAACCCUGAUGCAGCGACGCCGCGUGAGCGAUGAAGUAUUUCGGUAUGUAAAGCUCUAUCAGCAGGGAAGAAAAUGACGGUACCUGACUAAGAAGCCCCGGAUAACUACGUGCCAGCAGCCGCGGUAAUACGUAGGGGGCCAGCGUUAUCCGGAUUUACUGGGUGUAAAGGGAGCGUAGACGGCUGUGAAAGCCAGAUGUGAAAUCCCGGGGCUCAACCCCGGGACUGCAAUUGGAACUGUGUGGCUGGAGUGUCGGAGAGGCAGGCGGAAUUCCUGGUGUAGCGGUGAAAUGCUUAGAUAUUAGGAGGAACACCAGUGGCGAAGGCAGCCUGCUGGACUAUGACUGACGUUGAGGCUCGAAAGCGUGGGGAGCAAACAGGAUUAGAUACCCCUGUAGUC